rnacentral:rRNA from 1 species
GAUGAACGCUAGCGGCAGGCCUAAUACAUGCAAGCCGAACGGUAGAUUCGUAGCGAAUACGAGUCCUAGAGUGGCGUAAGGUGCGUAACACGUAUGCAAUCUGCCCGCAACUGGAGGAUAGCUCGGGAAACCGGAUUGACCUCCAUAAGAUCACACAAUGGCAUCGAAAGAGUGAUUAAAUCUCCGGAGGUUGCGGAUGAGCAUG